GUAGGUGGCAAGCGUUGUCCGGAAUUAUUGGGCGUAAAGCGCGCGCAGGCGGUCCUUUAAGUCUGAUGUGAAAGCCCACGGCUCAACCGUGGAGGGUCAUUGGAAACUGGGGGGACUUGAGUACAGAAGAGGAAAGCGGAAUUCCAAGUGUAGCGGUGAAAUGCGUAGAGAUUUGGAGGAACACCAGUGGCGAAGGCGGCUUUCUGGUCUGUAACUGACGCUGAGGCGCGAAAGCGUGGGGAGCAAACAGGAUUAGAUACCCUGGUAGUCCACGCCGUAAACGAUGAGUGCUAAGUGUUAGGGGGUUUCCCGCCCCCUUAGUGCUGCAGCUAACGCAUUAAGCACUCCGCCUGGGGAUACGGCCGCAAGGCUG
rnacentral:rRNA from 1 species